AUGAAGGAGGAAAAAGCGCUCACACUCCUCCGAGCGCGCACGCCCUCGCGCGCGGAGCUCCUGCGCAUGCUCGGAGCUCUUGCGCAUGCGCGGCGGUGCGCCGUCUCAACGAGUGCGCCAGGCACGUAAACGGUUAUACCGGUGUGCGGUGUAUGCCUGAACGUCGGUGUCUGUGUAUGCGUGUCAUCUUUGUGGCAUCACACGUCAACUACACUGAACGCAUACACCUGCAGCACCUUUGGGACUAAUGACACAAAGGUCAAGGCCAGCCUGGCGACCAUGCUUGCCAAGGAGUAGUGUAAAUAUGUAAUCUGUUUCCAUAAUUAGCAUAAGACAUGAAUUUAAGGAAUUCAUAUAUUAUAUCGAGCAAUAAAAACGGUUAAUGCAUUGCC